CGAGAUAGAGAUGCUGUCGAUUUUUGGGUGGAUUUAGAGCCUCAAGGAAAACUACAUUUACGAGUAGAUUUAAAAUGGGCUUCUGGAGAUCAAACGGCUUCAAAUGCAGGAGCGGCUAUAGGCCAGGGCGGAGGCGCAUCAGGAGGCCG